rnacentral:rRNA from 1 species
UGAGGAAUAUUGGACAAUGGGCGAAAGCUUGAUCCAGCAAUAUUGCGUGAGUGAAGAAGCCUGUUUGGGUGUAAAACUCUUUCAUCUAAGGAGGAUAAUGACAGUACUUAGAAAAAAAGUCCCGGCUAACUCUGUGCCAGCAGCCGCGGUAAUACAGGGGGGACUAGUGUUAUUCGGAGUGACUGGGCGUAAAGGGCAUGUAGGCGGUUUAUUAUGUUAAAAGUCAAAGACCAGAAUUGUUAUUUUGGAAUAUCUUUUAAAACGGAUAAACUAGAGUUAGAAAGAGGAUAGUGGAAUUUCUAGUGUAGAGAUAAAAUUCGUAAAUAUUAGAAGGAACUCCUAUUGGCGAAGGCUACUAUCUGGUUCUAUUUACUGACGCUGAGGUGCUAAAGCAUGGGGAUCAAACGGG